rnacentral:rRNA from 1 species
CCCGUAGCUGGUCUGAGAGGAUGAUCAGCCACCACUGGAACUGAGACACGGUCCAGAGUCCUACGGGAGGCAGCAGUGGGGAAUAUUGGACAAUGGGCGCAAGCCUGAUCCAGCCAUACCGCGUGGGUGAAGAAGGCCUUCGGGUUGUAAAGCCCUUUUGUUGGGAAAGAAAUCCAGCUGGNUAAUAGUGGGCUGGGAUGACGGUACCCAAAGAAUAAGCACCGGCUAACUUCGUGCCAGCAGCCGCGGUAAUACGAAGGGUGCAAGCGUUACUCGGAAUUACUGGGCGUAAAGCGUGCGUAGGUGGUCGUUUAAGUCCGUUGUGAAAGCCCUGGGCUCAACCCUGGGAACUGCCAGUGGAUACUGGGCG